AGUGAACGCUGGCGGUAGGCCUAACACAUGCAAGUCGAACGGCAGCACAGUAAGCGCUUGCUCUUACGGGUGGCGAGUGGCGGACGGGUGAGGAAUACAUCGGCAUCUACUUUUUCGUGGGGGAUAACGUAGGGAAACUUACGCUAAUACCGCAUACGACCUACGGGUGAAAGCAGGGGAUCUUCGGACCUUGCGCGAUUGAAUGAGCCGAUGUCGGAUUAGCUAGUUGGCGGGGUAAAGGCCCACCAAGGCGACGAUCCGUAGCUGGUCUGAGAGGAUGAUCAGCCACACUGGAACUGAGACACGGUCCAGACUCCUACGGGAGGCAGCAGUGGGGAAUAUUGGACAAUGGGCGCAAGCCUGAUCCAGCCAUACUGCGUGGGUGAAGAAGGCCUUCGGGUUGUAAAGCCCUUUUGUUGGGAAAGAAAAGCAGCAGGUUAAUACCCCGCUGUUCUGACGGUACCCAAAGAAUAAGCACCGGCUAACUUCGUG
rnacentral:rRNA from 1 species